CCUACGGGAGGCAGCAGUGGGGGAUAUUGCACAAUGGGGGGAACCCUGAUGCAGCGACGCCGCGUGGGUGAAGGAGUAUUUCGGUAUGUAAAGCCCUAUCGGCAGGGAAGAAUUUAGACGGUACCUGACUAAGAAGCCCCGGCUAACUACGUGCCAGCAGCCGCGGUAAUACGUAGGGGGCAAGCGUUAUCCGGAUUCACUGGGUGUAAAGGGAGCGUAGACGGCCAGGCAAGCCUGGAGUGAAAGCCCGGGGCCCAACCCCGGGACUGCUCUGGGAACUGUCCGGCUGGAGUGCGGGAGGGGCAGGCGGAAUUCCUGGUGUAGCGGUGAAAUGCGUAGAUAUCAGGAGGAACACCGGCGGCGAAGGCGGCCUGCUGGACCGCGACUGACGUUGAGGCUCGAAAGCGUGGGGAGCGAACAGGAUUAGAUACCCCUGUAGUC
rnacentral:rRNA from 1 species